ensembl:lncRNA
GCCGAGGCGCGGGGCGGAGCCUGAGACUUUGUAAACAACUCCCACGCUGCUUUUAAGCGCGUCGGCUGUAUUUACUACGGGAGGGCGCGACGGUGCUGCUGCCAAACAGGUAUGGGGUGCCGUCACUGGGGUGAACACAAGACUGGAGGAGGAUCUGAGGGAUCAAACACCAGCCUCUUAGAGCGCACUGUGCACCUGCAGCGCUGACGAAGCUAAUUGGUGGACUGUGGGCAGUCGCCCUCCCGGCUGCCCCCUCCUCACGCCAAGGAAACGUCUUUUCUCCCCACUCGCUCUGCAGCGGCGGGCGAGACGCCGCCGAGCGCGCUGACUCCGUCUCUCCCCGGGCCGCCACUUUCUACCGCACGACAGACUGCUCAGCAAAAUCUGCUCCAUUGGAGUGGAUCAGCUCCAGCUAAGACACCCUUUCACACUUCCUCCCUCCCUUUCUCCAAACCCUCUCCCUCCUAUGUGACCGCAGUGCUUUCCUUCCUUCCUUCCUUCCUUCCUUCCUCCUGACACAGAGGUCUGGGGGAGUCGCAAAGGGAGUCAGGAUUUCCGGAUGUGCGCCGAUCCGAGACACAGACGGACUGACGGGGAACAGACUGGAGGAUGCUGCUGCUACCGUGGACUUUGGGGCUUCCCAUCCUAGAGCUACAAGGAGAAUGACUGAAUCAUUCCAGUUUCGAUAUGACAACAGGAAGGUGAAGUGAGUCGGAGAUUAGCGGCGUGGGCGUAUGUGACCGUGAAAGACAAUGAAGCACUAAGAUCGUUCGGUUCAUGAUAAUAAUCAACGAUGAUGAUGGAUUAAUGGUCGGCAAGAACUUUGAUGCACUUUGACCUGAUGUUACACCGGCGCCCCUCCUCCCUCCGUAUCUCAUCCAGCGGGAAAAAAAAGUCUGUUUGCAGGCCGGAGGCCCGGCAGCAGAACGCAACCUCUCAUCUUUGCGUUCAGCUCUUCGCCUUCCACCCCGUUCGGUACAAUAUGACUCACGCAAUGCUUUGUAGGUUUCAGAGCACUUCUUCUCAAUGUAUGACAUUCAUUUCCUUCACCAUUCUCUGUGGGGGGAAGAAGAGACAAAUGACCCCAAGUGUUUGGAAGGGCAGGACAAAGAAGGGAAGGAAACACAGACUGAAAGAAAGGAGGGGGGGGGGAAUCACAAUAAUAGCAAUCUCUCUUCUCUCCCCUUUUUUUUUUUCUCAGAAGAGCUUACAGUGAGUGCCAGCUGGGCUCUGCUGCUGCUGCUGUUGUACAGUGCACGCUACUUCAGAGAAGUCAACCUCACUGCACUCCAUCCGCCCCAUUGAGCCGCCAGCGCUGGCAAUCAAUUCUGAGCCUUGUGCUGUCGCUGAUGGCCUCUGGACACGGCAGCUGGGUGCAGGAAGACAAGCGCUCUUCCACGGGAGUCUGUCCCCCGAUCAGCUGCAGCCAGCUGUCCGGCAACAGCGCGCCGCCAUUCAGAGCGGCAGCCGCCGCCGCUGCUGCCGCUGUUGCCGCUGCUGCCGGUGGAGCGAGACCUCCUUUACUGCCGUCACCGCCGCUGCCAAGUCCCCUUUCAACGUGUAAGGCGGGAUUUACAUUUUCUCAGGACAGGCACCCGUGAAGAGAAGCCUGCUGGCAGAUCAAAGGCUCCGGCUGUAAAACGAUCUGAAAGAGUCCGGCUUUAGCAUCCAUCAGGGUACCUUGAAAGCUCCCUGGUCAGCCGAGAGGGAAGCUGAGGGCCCCUGUAGGAUAUUAGAAACAAAUAUACGACCCGGUUCAUAAAAUUAAUAAAAAUGCAUAUAGUGUACACCAGAAUACAGCCAUGAUUCUGAAACUGUAAUCAAUAAAGUAAUGACAAUAUUGUAAAACCACUGUAAUUCUGCAACUGCAAUAGAAUAAUACCAAUGCAGUUAUGAUUGUAUUUGAUGUAAUGUAAUCAACUGGAAUGCAUGCAUGUAAUACUUGCACAACAACUGAUAUUGACUAAGGAUCAUUCGAAAUCCGAGUUACAUUGAACUCACCAGAAGACCACUCCCAGAGGUGUGGACACUAACUUUCACACCUUUAAGCAUUGUUAUAAAUACCUUGUAGGAACCAUUGUUCUGGAGUUCGCUGGUGGAGGCGACAGACGGCACUAGGGAUGGUCAAAAGGACUGACCUGGGGCCUGUUGGUUGCCAGCGUCUCCUCAGCUGAGAUGUUCUUUUUACCACAACACCAUCUCUUUUAUUAAAUACAUUUGAUUUUAACCUUUUGAUCAGCGAUGACCUCUGUCCGUCUGGCGUUUCUUCAUUUUUGAACACAACACCCCCCAAAGUGAAGAGGGGGUGGGGGGUGAUGGAGGGGCGGAGGGACAGUAGAAGGUGGGUGGAGAGAGAGAGAGAGAGAGAGAGAGAGAGGCUUCUUGGAGGGAGGAAAAUUCCCAUAACAAGCUGCAUGUUUUCACUUUUCUUUUGGAUUCAGCCCCCUCAUCCCUUCCUUCAGCUUUAACCUUCUAUCCAGCAAACUUGAGUUGAGGCUGUAAGGGGAGAACCUCUCCAUCUGUGCACCAUCUCCACUCCGCUCACCAAAACCCAGACUUUUACUACUCCACCCUGCAGUCUUCACACAGGGUCAAGUCUGGUCGGGGGGGGGGGGGGGGGGGGGGG